rnacentral:lncRNA from 1 species
GCAUAGCUUAGGGGUAUAGGGAAGAGAGGAAAGAACAAAAUUGUAAUAAAUUUGUAAUAAGCUGAUCGUAUUUGGAAGUUGAAUGUAAAUGUGAUGUAGAAUGAGCCGAAUGCUUGUAUAGCUUAGGGUUUUAUAUUUUUGAUACCUUCCUUAUACAAUCGAUGUAUGAAUAUUGUUCCUGUUUGGAACCGUUUGUAUUGUAUAAUU